rnacentral:rRNA from 1 species
UCCCGCAAGGGAGUAGAGUCGAGGUGCUGCAUGGCUGUCGUCAGCUCGUGUCGUGAGAUGUUGGGUUAAGUCCCGCAACGAGCGCAACCCUUGCCCUGUUUUGCCAUCAUUAAGUUGGGAACUAUCAGGGGACCGCCAGCGAUAAGUUGGAGGAAGGUGGGGAUGACGUCAAGUCAUCAUGGCCUUUAUGUCCAGGGCUACACACGUGCUACAAUGGACGGUACAAAGCGCUGCGAAACCGCGAGGUGGAGCUAAUCGCAAAAAACCGUUCUCAGUUCGGAUCGCAGGCUGCAACUCGCCUGCGUGAAGCUGGAAUCGCUAGUAAUGGCAGAUCAGCAUGCUGCCGUGAAUACGUUCCCGGGCCUUGUACACACCGCCCGUCACAUCACGAAAGUGGAUUGUACUAGAAGUCUGUGAGUUAACCGCAAGGAGACCACGGCCCAAGGUAUGAUUCAUGAUUGGGGUGAAGUCGUAACAAGGUAGCCGUAGGAGAACCUGCGGCUGGAUCACCUCCUUU